rnacentral:lncRNA from 1 species
UAUUCUGUACUUAUUGGCGGAGUAAAUUAUGUUAGAUGUUAAUGCUUGGUACCUGUUCUUACACUAGCACAAUACUUUAUUUAUUUAUUUAUUUAUUUAUUUAUUUAUUUUACCUUCUUUAGCUCCCCUACUUCCCAUAUUUGCUAGAGAGGUUUAUUAGCAGCAGUUAAGACUGUACCCUAAUGUCUCUGAUGAGCAUCUCAAAAGGUAGCAACAUGGCUAAAGCUUGCUUUUACAAGUUCUGUUGAUAAAUCAUUUUAGACACUUAGUCUGAUAGUCCCUUGCAUUUUCCAUGUACUGUGUUCUUUGGCUUGUCUGGCAGCAGCACAGGAAGGUAGACUUAACGGCAGUCCAGCUCAAAUGCAUCUACAGAUGAGAAUUUAUCUUCUGUUUAGCAUACAGUGUUUUCAGCAGGCGAGUACGAUGUUACUGAAUUAUUUUGCUUGUUUCUUUCUACAGUCGUUAUUUAUAGAACUUUUUUCCCCCCUUGUGAAGUACAUGCCUGUUUCUAGGUAUUCUGAAAAAACUGAUUUAAGUAUAACAUGAGUUAAGUCUAGAAGGACAGUGCAAGGUGAAGGCAGAAAGAGUACUGACUCUUUUUAGCUCUAAAGCAGGGAAGGGACUGAGCGUGGGAAGGGACUGAGCGUGACACACACACACACACACACACACACACACACACACACACACACGCAGAGCAGGGAAGGGACUGAAUGUGAGACACACACAUACACAGAGCCUUUCAAUGCCUCAAACAUAGGCUCUUCUAUAGAAGGUAUUUUGUUAUUUUUAGUUUCCUUUUUCUUUUUCUUAAAGGUGUAUUAAAAAGAGUUGACAUCAUUGGUAUCUGAAUGUUCAUUAAAUUAUUUUGAAUAUGAUUAUUUAAGAAGACUAACAUGUUUGUAUUAAUGUGACUCUAAUUCUGGGAAUUCAGAAAGAAUUAUAAUUACUGGAUACAAGUAACUGUUAUCAGGAAAGGUAGAAUCUUUUAAGUAUAAAAUUGUUAGGGAAUGACUAAUACCUUCAGUGGUGUUUGCUUAUGUUUUCAGUGUAGUUUUCGGGUCUGUCUACUGAAAUGCAAAUGACCAAGGGAAAGAUGCCUCGUCAGCUUAGGUUCCGAUGACUUUUAGUUAUUGCAAAUAGAGCACAUAGCCACAUCCUUUUCUUCUCCGUAAACCUCAGAACACUUAUGACAGCAGGCAUUCCACAGCUCACCUUGCUGCUUGUCUCAUUCUUACCUGUAGUGAAACUCUGCAGUAGAUUUUCUUGUUAUCCCUCAGGUCCAAGUUCAGCAUGCAGAGGGAAUUUCUUUUAACAUUGUAUUCAGUCAUCCUCCUGCCUCUCCCACCACUAUUCAAAGAUUUCUGCUAGCUACUCUCCACAUUUUAUUAUUUUUAAAAAAGCUGUAAGCCCACGUUGUCUGUUUCUCGUUGGGUUUUAGGGUGACUGACUGAGAACAGUUCUGCCUGUAACUGCAAUAGAGAAAUAAAGCGAGUGGGUAUUCUUACUGUGCGUGCUUGGCAGGCAGGCGUCUUAAGUGUAGAGUCAGAGGUCCUCAGUUCUGAGUGGUGAGCUAGAGGCUGUCCAGUGAUUUGCUCCCGCUGUUUCUCAGAGCAGUGCUGCAGCGGUUCUCUCCAGAUCCUGAGGCUUUCUUCAACAGUGUAGAACAGUGAGGGUGGGGCUCUUUCCGGUUGGCUGUUGAAAAAGCGUCCAUUUACAGAGAGAACAGGUUGGAUAGGCUAAGCUGAAGGCGUAGGCAAACAGAUCCAAAACUGAUGGAAGACAGAAAGAGUGGUUAGUAUGUUUUGGGGUGUCUUGAGCUUGCUUCUUUGCUAAGUUCUUGAGCUUUAAUAUAAACACAUUGAAAUAUUAAAGCACUUUACAUUCUUUGUGUAGUAGCCUGGAGACUUAUGCUUUUCACAGUUUCUUGGUGAUGAGUUUGUGGCUGCUAUCUUCUAUAGUAAAGUUGGUUUUUCAUUUGUUUUUAAUUUGCUUUUAGUGGUGUAUCUUUCAGCCAGAGAGCUGCAGAAUGAGUCAGUUAGCCAGUUUUAGUAUAUAUGGGACAUUACUAGUUGUGAUUUUUUAAAGCCAGAUUCUCUUUUAAUGAUCAAGUCAAUGUGUGGCUGUGGCUGCAGCAACAUUAUUUCUUUUUUAAUGAAGAGGUUGAACCGUUCGACUUGCUGCUCCGAUCUUUUCCCUUGUAGCUAUACAUCAGAACAGUUGCAGAGAUUUUCCAUCGAAUGUCCCAGGCAACUAAAGGUAACUACAUAGAUUUAUUUCAAAUAAGAAUACACAGUUAAAAUGGCUGCAUUAUAAGUUGGGCCAAAUGAUUAAACAUAAAAGACCAAUUAAGAUGUUCUUAGCAGUUUUCUUGACCUUGCAGUAGCUAUCCAAUAUCAUUUUGUCAUCAUCAGAUUGUGGCAGUGGAAAUGUACUGCAGUAAUUGAUUUUGUAAUAGGAUCAGGUGAUUUACCAGCGGCACUGAGAACCACUUGCUUGCUCUGAGUGUGCAGCACUCUAAUGACUGUGUGAUUGCAGCCUAGAGCUGAAGUGAGGUGGCUGGCCACCCACAGUAGCAGCGUUUACUUUAGAAAUCACAAGAGUACUAGGAGUUUCUUGUUUGUUUUCUGUGCUAUCAGUUUUACUUCAUGUGUUCAUGUGAAGUCUUAGAAAUUACGAUUUUCUUUUUCACUCACCAGUUCAUAAAAAGUUUAUCGGUUUGACUAACAUUAAGUAUAACAAAACACAUUCUUCUCUCUCUACUUCUGAGCUCAGCAUCAACAUACUGUGCUGCUGACCAUGAGGACACAUGUCUAAAACAUAAGCUUUUGUUAACUAUUGUACAUUAUCUGCAUUAAGGAAAAUAUUCUUAACACCUGCAAAUCUCAUCAUGUUUCAACUCUUAUCUGUAUGGUAAUACUGGGACUAGAGGAAACUAUUGGUCCAGAGAGUUACUAGAAAAUUGUUUUGUGUUUUAUUUUGUGUUUGGAUUUCUCAGUAGUUUAUUUAGCAAAUCUGGACUGUAUAAUUUCUUGGAAAUAUCCAGAAGAACAUUAAGGGCAAGUGUAAUGUUUAAUGAUACUACAAAUUAAUAACUUGGUAUCCAAUUUUAUUUAAUAUCCAAAAUUUAUAAAAUGGCUAUGUUUUAAUAAUGUUUGUGCCUUUAAAGCAAAUAAUUGGUUACAAAUAUGUGUGUACAGAGCUCAUUCUUGAUGCGGAAUGCACCUGCUGUUGUAGGAAUGUGAGACCCUGUGUUGAGAUCCUGGCUGCUGAGAUUUUGCUACAAUGAUCUUUUGCUUAGCUUUGUUGUAUUAGUGAAAAAAAAAAUUACACGCUUUCCCUCCCUCACUCCUUUCCUUGCCAGAACCACCAACUCUUGUGCUUAGUAUGUAAUAGUGUUUUGUACAGAACCACACACACAGGGAAAAUGACUUUUCUGUCAGUCCUUAGAUAUAUUUUUCCUGUUAGCCUUACUAUAUUUCAUAACAGUUAAAAUUAGAUCUUGCAGAAUCAAGAAGAGUUCUGCCAUUGCAUAUGCUAUGUGAGGCGCUUCCCUUUCUGAUAAGCCCAGAGGCUAGUUCUUAAACUGUUUGAAGGCUUGGUGUUUCUUGAAAGGUGAAAAUAUGAACAGUCAUACUUUGGCCAAAUCCAGAUACUUAAAAAGGUAAUUAUAGUUAUGUGUUCUGUUGCUAAUAAUGAUGCAAUAUCAACAUGGAGUUUGUAGUCUUUAUUCUUCUUUGCCAACAACAGAAAUCCCUCUGUAUACAUUGGUAAUGUGUACAUAAGGAUGUUAUUACUAUUUGAGAUUUGUUCAAGGACAUGUCUAAGUUCAAUAUUGAAAAUGUUAAAUGAUGUACCAUCACCAAAUCAAUUACUGAUAAAUAUU